ACAGCAGCCGCCGCGGGAAUACGAAGGGUGCAAGCGUUAAUCGGAAUUACUGGGCGUAAAGCGUGCGUAGGCGGUGAGUUAAGUCUGCUGUGAAAUCCCCGGGCUCAACCUGGGAAUGGCAGUGGAUACUGGCUCGCUAGAGUGUGUCAGAGGAUGGUGGAAUUCCCGGUGUAGCGGUGAAAUGCGUAGAGAUCGGGAGGAACAUCAGUGGCGAAGGCGGCCAUCUGGGACAACACUGACGCUGAGGCACGAAAGCGUGGGGAGCAAACAGGAUUAGAUACCCCGGUAGUCCCUGUCUCUUAUAC
rnacentral:rRNA from 1 species